rnacentral:misc_RNA from 1 species
UCAAACUUGGUCAUUUAGAGGAAGUAAAAGUCGUAACAAGGUUUCCGUAGGUGAACCUGCGGAAGGAUCAUUAAUGAAUAAACUUGACGAGUUGUCGCUGGCUCCUCGGGGCAUGUGCACGCUUGUUACCUUUAUCCAUCCACCUGUGAACAAUUUGUAGUCUUGAGGGAGAUGAGAGCAGAGCCGAUUUGUUGGCUUUGUGACUUGUUCUCAAGUCUAUGUUAAUUCAUACACCACAUAGCAUGUCGUUGAAUGUAUUUGUUGGGCCUUUGUGCCUAUAUAAAACACUAUACAACUUUCAGCAACGGAUCUCUUGGCUCUCGCAUCGAUGAAGAACGCGC